rnacentral:pre_miRNA from 1 species
ACAUUAUUCAAAACAUUGAAUCACAUCGAACUGUGGAAUGUUGUGAAUAGUGUC